UGCAAGUCGUACGAGGCGUCCCAUUGAAGCAGAGUGCUUGCACAAAGCAGAUUUGGAUUUUCGCCUAGUGGCGCAAGGGUGAGUAACACGUGGGUUAUCUGCCUUGGAGACUGGAAUAACAAUUAGAAAUGAUUGCUAAUGCCGGAUGAUAUGUAGGAAGAUACGUUUUUCCUAUAGUAAAAGGUGCCUUUUAAAGCAUCACUUCAAGAUGAGCCUGCGGCGCAUUAGCUAGUUGGUAAGGUAAUGGCUUACCAAGGCCACGAUGCGUAGCCGAACUGAGAGGUUGAUCGGCCACAUUGGGACUGAGACACGGCCCAAACUCCUACGGGAGACAGCAGUUAGGAAUAUUCGUCAAUGGGGGAAACCCUGAACGAGCAAUGCCGCGUGAAUGAUGACGGUUCCCUCUGGAUUGUAAAAUUCUGUUGUUGAGGAAGAACGUCCUGUAUAGGAAAUGAUACAGGAGUGACGGUACUCUUCAAGAAAGCUCCGGCUAACUACGUGCCAGCAGCUGC
rnacentral:rRNA from 1 species